rnacentral:rRNA from 1 species
GACGAACGCUGGCGGCGUGCUUAACACAUGCAAGUCGAACGGAAAGGCCCUGCUUUUGUGGGGUGCUCGAGUGGCGAACGGGUGAGUAACACGUGAGUAACCUGCCCUUGACUUUGGGAUAACUUCAGGAAACUGGGGCUAAUACCGGAUAGGAGCUCCUGCUGCAUGGUGGGGGUUGGAAAGUUUCGGCGGUUGGGGAUGGACUCGCGGCUUAUCAGCUUGUUGGUGGGGUAGUGGCUUACCAAGGCUUUGACGGGUAGCCGGCCUGGGAGGGUGACCGGCCACAAUGGGACUGAGAUACGGCCCAGACUCCUACGGGCGGCAGCGGUGGGGAAUAUUACACAAUGGGCGGAAGCCUGAUGCAGCAACGCCGCGUGCGGGAUGACGGCCUUCGGGUUGUAAACCGCUUUCGCCUGUGACGAAGAGUGAGUGACGGUAAUGGGUAAAGAAGCACCGGCUAACUACGUG